UACUGAGCAAGCAGUGGGUUGAAACUCCUACCCAAUGAUUAGAUACAUGAUUAAUAUAAUUUACAUGUAAUACAGUUUAUGUUCAGACUGCUAAAGUUGUGUUUUCUGUUAAGGAAAGUUUGUUUUGUUGUUUGAAGAUGAGUGAUGGAGCAGUAUGCACUGGCUAACCCCGACCAGCAGGGGGCGCGUUCGCUACACUGUGUGUUCUAGGUUAUUCAGAGAAUAAGAACACAUGAAUGUGAAGUAUAAUUGUGUGUGGCGAACUGUGUUGUUAAAAAUAACUUUUGGCUCCUUGCAGGUAAGAAGGGGGGGUUAGAAUUGGAUAGUAAUUGGUAAAAGCGAGUUUAUGAUCUCAGCCGAUUUAGGGUAUUGUUUAUGACUGUUGUGUGGCAAAUACAAAGUACCGAAAAUGGUUAGCUUAUCGUUAGCGCCAGUUGCUAACUACCUUGGGUGAGCGCGGGGCUGGGGAAAAUAAACAGUGAGCCUGCACUCCGUGGGAGGAGUUUGUCAGCCUGUGUAAAUAAGCUAAAAUACGGAAUGAUUUAUUUGAUUAAUGGUAAUUUGAUUAACGUUGACAAGGUUUGUUAAAUAUGAUUGGUUCACUCUAUUUGAGCAAAUUUGCUAGACAAUGUAUAACAAAACUGAUCUGAAAAAGGUGCUAUGUAUAUGAUUUUUCUGUGUUUGGAAUAGAUUCAAAGGCUAUGAUUUAUUGUUAAUAUGUGGUGCAAAAGUUCAGAAUUGCACUGUGUGUUCUAGGUUAUUCAGAGAAUAAGAACACAUGAAUGUGAAGUAUAAUUGUGUGUGGCGAACUGUGUUGUUAAAAAUAACUUUUGGCUCCUUGCAGGUAAGAAGGGGGGGUUAGAAUUGGAUAGUAAUUGGUAAAAGCGAGUUUAUGAUCUCAGCCGAUUUAGGGUAUUGUUUAUGACUGUUGUGUGGCAAAUACAAAGUACCGAAAAUGGUUAGCUUAUCGUUAGCGCCAGUUGCUAACUACCUUGGGUGAGCGCGGGGCUGGGGAAAAUAAACAGUGAGCCUGCACUCCGUGGGAGGAGUUUGUCAGCCUGUGUAAAUAAGCUAAAAUACGGAAUGAUUUAUUUGAUUAAUGGUAAUUUGAUUAACGUUGACAAGGUUUGUUAAAUAUGAUUGGUUCACUCUAUUUGAGCAAAUUUGCUAGACAAUGUAUAACAAAACUGAUCUGAAAAAGGUGCUAUGUAUAUGAUUUUUCUGUGUUUGGAAUAGAUUCAAAGGCUAUGAUUUAUUGUUAAUAUGUGGUGCAAAAGUUCAGAAUUGCACUGUGUGUUCUAGGUUAUUCAGAGAAUAAGAACACAUGAAUGUGAAGUAUAAUUGUGUGUGGCGAACUGUGUUGUUAAAAAUAACUUUUGGCUCCUUGCAGAUUGCAAUAAAGCUGAUUCAUCAAGUUAAA